GACGAACGCUGGCGGCGUGCUUAACACAUGCAAGUCGAACGGAAAGGCCUGCUUUCCCUUGUGGAUUGCGGGUACUCGAGUGGCGAACGGGUGAGUAACACGUGAGUGAUCUGCCCCCAACUUGGGUAUAAGCCUGGGAAACUGGGUCUAAUUCCCGAUAGGACUGCAGGGUGGUGCCUGUGGUGGAAAACGAUGUUCUAGUGGUUGGGGAUGAGCUCGCGGCCUAUCAGCUUGUUGGUGGGGUAAUGGCCUACCAAGGCGGCGACGGGUAGCCGGUCUGAGAGGGUGGACGGCCACAUUGGGACUGAGAUACGGCCCAGACUCCUACGGGAGGCAGCAGUGGGGAAUAUUGCACAAUGGGCGGAAGCCUGAUGCAGCGACGCCGCGUGGGGGAUGACGGCCUUCGGGUUGUAAACUCCUUUCGACCGCGAGGAAGCCACCUGGUUGGAAGGGUGGUGACGGUAGUGGUAGAAGAAGCACCGGCUAACUACGUG
rnacentral:rRNA from 1 species